rnacentral:lncRNA from 1 species
CAAGGGAGCAGAGGAGACAGACGCCAGAGAAAAGGGGAGGGAAAGCCGACAGGGGAGGAGAGAAAGGGAGACAGCAGAGAGGUGGGGAGAAGGAACCCCAGGGCCCACCUGGUCAGGCCUGGACAGCUGAGCCUGUCCAACUAACUCAGCCAACCCAAGUCCCUGCACAGCCAGGCUGCCCCCUGCAGGUCAAGGGAGAAAGCCAGCAUCCUAACCACCAUCCCAGCGACCAUCCUAACUACCAUCCCAGUGACCAUCCCAACCACCAUCCCAGCGACCAUCCCAACUACCAUCCCAGUGACCACCCCAACUACCAUACCAGUGACCAUCCCAAUGAUCAUCCUGACCACAUCCCAAUGACCAUACCAAUAAUCAUUCUGACCACCAACCCAGUGACCAUCCCAACUACCAUCCCAAUGACUAUCCCAACCACCAUCCUGACAACCAUCCCAGUGACUGUCCUGGCUGCCAUCCCAAUGACCGUCCUGACCACCAGCCCAGUCAGGGUCUUGUCUAGCAUGCACACACCCUCUGAGCAGCACCUAGCUCAAGGCCUAGGGCAGAUGCUCAAUAGACAUGGAGCUUAUUGUUCACAGUGAGAAAACCACAUACACACUGUGUCCACUGUGAGAUGUGUCAGAGAUCUGAAUAGAAAGAACACAGAGAGACCUUGGACCCUGCACCCAUUUUCCCCCAGGCAAAUUGAUGGGCAGCAUGCAGCAGGAGGUUGGGUGGAGACCAUUGAGUGCCUUCCUAUACACAAUCAUGUGAGGUACAGUUCCACCAGGCAUGGUGGUUCAUGUGUCCACCCCACAGCACAGGUGGUCAACAUCCCCAUUGCUGGAUAGAUGGGCCACCACCGAUUUGCUCUCCGCCUGCCAUUUUGACAUUUCAAGGUAUAUAGAUGGAAUCAUACAGUAUGUGGCCUUUUGAAUGAUCUUAUUCAUUCAGCAUGGUUCUCCUGAGAUCUACCCAAAUUGUUGCAUAUGUCAAUAGUUUGUUCCUUUUGAUUUCUUCCCAGUACAGUCAUCCCUUGGUAUCUAUAGAGAGAUAGAUCCUGGGGGUCCCAGGAUCCCCCAUGGGCACCCAAAUCCUCAGAUGCUCAAGUCCUUUAGAUCACACACAGCCUCCACAGCCUCUCACAUAAUCUAUACUCGAGGUCUGGGGUUGUGACUCUAUGGUAGAGCGCUCACCUA